UUUAUGGAGAGUUUGAUCCUGGCUCAGGAUGAACGCUGGCGGCGUGCCUAAUACAUGCAAGUCGAGCGAACGGACGAGAAGCUUGCUUCUCUGAUGUUAGCGGCGGACGGGUGAGUAACACGUGGAUAACCUACCUAUAAGACUGGGAUAACUUCGGGAAACCGGAGCUAAUACCGGAUAAUAUUUUGAACCGCAUGGUUCAAAAGUGAAAGACGGUCUUGCUGUCACUUAUAGAUGGAUCCGCGCUGCAUUAGCUAGUUGGUAAGGUAACGGCUUACCAAGGCAACGAUGCAUAGCCGACCUGAGAGGGUGAUCGGCCACACUGGAACUGAGACACGGUCCAGACUCCUACGGGAGGCAGCAGUAGGGAAUCUUCCGCAAUGGGCGAAAGCCUGACGGAGCAACGCCGCGUGAGUGAUGAAGGUCUUCGGAUCGUAAAACUCUGUUAUUAGGGAAGAACAUAUGUGUAAGUAACUGUGCACAUCUUGACGGUACCUAAUCAGAAAGCCACGGCUAACUACGUGCCAGCAGCCGCGGUAAUACGUAGGUGGCAAGCGUUAUCCGGAAUUAUUGGGCGUAAAGCGCGCGUAGGCGGUUUUUUAAGUCUGAUGUGAAAGCCCACGGCUCAACCGUGGAGGGUCAUUGGAAACUGGAAAACUUGAGUGCAGAAGAGGAAAGUGGAAUUCCAUGUGUAGCGGUGAAAUGCGCAGAGAUAUGGAGGAACACCAGUGGCGAAGGCGACUUUCUGGUCUGUAACUGACGCUGAUGUGCGAAAGCGUGGGGAUCAAACAGGAUUAGAUACCCUGGUAGUCCACGCCGUAAACGAUGAGUGCUAAGUGUUAGGGGGUUUCCGCCCCUUAGUGCUGCAGCUAACGCAUUAAGCACUCCGCCUGGGGAGUACGACCGCAAGGUUGAAACUCAAAGGAAUUGACGGGGACCCGCACAAGCGGUGGAGCAUGUGGUUUAAUUCGAAGCAACGCGAAGAACCUUACCAAAUCUUGACAUCCUUUGACAACUCUAGAGAUAGAGCCUUCCUCUUCGGGGACAAAGUGACAGGUGGUGCAUGGUUGUCGUCAGCUCGUGUCGUGAGAUGUUGGGUUAAGUCCCGCAACGAGCGCAACCCUUAAGCUUAGUUGCCAUCAUUAAGUUGGGCACUCUAAGUUGACUGCCGGUGACAAACCGGAGGAAGGUGGGGAUGACGUCAAAUCAUCAUGCCCCUUAUGAUUUGGGCUACACACGUGCUACAAUGGACAAUACAAAGGGCAGCGAAACCGCGAGGUCAAGCAAAUCCCAUAAAGUUGUUCUCAGUUCGGAUUGUAGUCUGCAACUCGACUACAUGAAGCUGGAAUCGCUAGUAAUCGUAGAUCAGCAUGCUACGGUGAAUACGUUCCCGGGUCUUGUACACACCGCCCGUCACACCACGAGAGUUUGUAACACCCGAAGCCGGUGGAGUAACCUUUUAGGAGCUAGCCGUCGAAGGUGGGACAAAUGAUUGGGGUGAAGUCGUAACAAGGUAGCCGUAUCGGAAGGUGCGGCUGGAUCACCUCCUUUCU
rnacentral:rRNA from 1 species